CCCAGAUAAAUCAGUAACCCAUUCAGAUCCAUGAAGACACAGGAGCCAUUUGAAGCCUCUGGGAAAGACAAGCUUCCUCCUCUUCCAGAGAUGCUACCAGGAAAGAGGCUUGCUCUUCCUCCAGAAGGUAUAGGGAGAUCUGAGGCCUGGAGUUACUGCAGCCAUUUUCUGCCACACAUGGAGAGCCAGGAGCUGCCUAGAAGAGGAUGGGGAUGGCAGGACCAAGGAUCCGAACUCCCUUUGCCCUCAGAACAGAAGGUUAGCCACCAACUCUACCUCCGCCCUAUGCCCUGGGGAGUGGAGCCUCCAUUGUCGGUGGAAUCUCCCCCAGAGCCUUCUGCUCUAGUUCUUAGGGCCACACAUAAUUCAUUCAUCCAUCAUCAGACAUGAGGAUACCGAAGUAGGGGAAAGAAGAAUUCCUUCUCUAGAAGAACUUACUGACAAGGAAAUUGAUGUGUUCCAUGCUGCAGAGGCAGGAGCAGGGUGGAGGUGCGUGACCUCACUGGAAUGAAGAAGGCGAAGCCCAGUCGAGGUCUCCAAGGAUGAGCCCAGCUGCAGGGGGCUGUCUUAUUCAUGACCCUCUGAAUCUGGGCUGGACUCAGUGACCUGCUCAGCCAACAGAAUUUGUAGAAGUAACAUUCUGGGACUUCUGAGACUAACUUACAAGAAACCUUGCUGCUUCUACCUGGGUCUCUUGGAACACCCUCACUCUGGUAGCUUUGAGCCACCAUGGAAGAACUCUGAUGACUCUAAAUUGGCCAAGUUAGAGAGAUUACAUGCAGGCUCUCUGGGACGUGGUCCCCGUCAGGUCCAGCCUUCUAGUUGUCUCUGCGACUCUGCCAAAGUGCCAGACAAUGAACGGAGCUGUUGUGGAUUCCCUCGACUUGCCCAGCUGUCAGUUGGACAUCUCAGUCAACACCACAUGGAACAGAAGAGUUGCGCAGCUGAGCCCUGUCCAAGUUUCUGACCCACAGAAUGUGAGAUAAAGAAAACGGUGGUGGCCAGGCGUGGUGGCUCAUGCCUGUAAUUCCAGCUCUCAGGGAGGCAGAGGCA